rnacentral:rRNA from 1 species
AACGAACGCUGGCGGCAUGCCUAAUACAUGCAAGUCGAACGAGAUCUUCGGAUCUAGUGGCGCACGGGUGCGUAACGCGUGGGAAUCUGCCCUUGGGUUCGGAAUAACUUCUGGAGACGGAAGCUAAUACCGGAUGAUGACGUAAGUCCAAAGAUUUAUCGCCCAAGGAUGAGCCCGCGUAGGAUUAGCUAGUUGGUGGGGUAAAGGCCCACCAAGGCGGCGAUCCUUAGCUGGUCUGAGAGGAUGAUCAGCCACACUGGGACUGAGACACGGCCCAGACUCCUACGGGAGGCAGCAGUAGGGAAUAUUGGACAAUGGGGGAAACCCUGAUCCAGCAAUGCCGCGUGAGUGAUGAAGGCCUUAGGGUUGUAAAGCUCUUUUACCCGGGAUGAUAAUGACAGUACCGGGAGAAUAAGCUCCGGCUAACUCCGUG